CAUGACUGCGCCAUGUCCGGUCCCGAAGCAAUCGCCUCGGGCGAAAGAGGGAAUGCCGUGCGGCGCCUCGUGCGCCAAUGCGGCAACUGCCCCCGCAACUGUAAGCGGUGAGCAGGGCCGAUCAUGCCACUGGAGAAAUCCGGGAAGGCCGGCCCCGAGCUGAGACCCGCGAGUCAGGAGACCUGCCGGACGACGCCUCCCGGA
rnacentral:ncRNA from 2 species